rnacentral:lncRNA from 1 species
CUUGCUGCUUUCUUCAGCCACAAGGAGAAGCCCUUGAUGAACAUGAAAGAAUUGUAUCAUAAAAGAAGAGAUGGAGAGGAGGUAAAUAAUAAGGCGUGAAGGGAGAGAGAUGAGUGCUUCAGACAAAGGGACCUUUCCUCGGUUUGGCAGCAAGGAAUCUGCGCAGAGAGGAGAGGCAUUGAAUGCAACAGACCAGAUCACGGUCUACGCCACUGUGGGUGGGGGUAUGAGGGGGAGGGAGGGAGAGAGAGAGAGAGAGACACACACACACACACACACAAACACACAGACUGACACGAAUACCACCAACAGUGGCACAACCCUCAGCUCUCCUUUUGCCUUGGGUAGGGGAAGUCCCCACCCCUUUAUUUGAGGCCAGAACCGAAGACAGAACUUUUGAUGGAAGCAAGACAGUAGCAGCAGCAGCAGCUACUGCUGCAUCAACUUUCCUCAUUGCUGAGACCCCAUUAAUCUCCUACACAGCCCUAUCAUCUUUUUGCUGUUGUGACUUGGGGGUGAUGCCCUCUACCCGAGGGAUGCUCGGUGGCUCUUUCUACUGUUUACUUUGGUGAAACGACUGUGGCUGGAAUCAUAGCCAAAUGAUGCAAUCCUAAGUCUCUACUGGCUCCUUUCUUCCCUCAGGGAACGCAGGCCCUACCUCAGCUCCCUCAAGUACCGAGUGGGGGAAGUGAGAUAGCUUUACGUCGAGAGGGAGAAGACUUGCCACACUGUUGACCACCUUUCGCUUGCUUGGCCUUGAGCUUUCUUUCUUCCGGUUCCACCCACAGCACACAACUCGCAGUUGCAGAAACAUACAUCAUUUUCUGAUCAAAGAAGCUUAAAGGUUCGGACUACUGCAACCAUGUACUGAUUUCAUAGGGGAGCAGAGGUUGUGAUUCCCACUGGGUGAUGACGGUCCGACAUCCAAUCACACAGCACCAGUACAUGAAGAAACCUAAACAUGUCAUGUGGUAGGGUGGCAUUGCACUCCUGUGCAUGAGAAAGGUUAUGAUGAGGUGAAGACAGGCUAAUUAGUAGGACAAAGCUGUGUCGAUCGCGUCAUCGUAUGCAGAAGCUCGCGACCCACUGUGCGCGUCUCCAGUUUCCAGUUGACACCAGCCAUCUCUCGAGGGCGAAACACUGGAAGCAAUGGUAGAUCUCAUUUCCAUCUCAUCGGAUUCUUCCCGGUUU